UAGACAUUCGAAGCAAGCACAGUAAACUAUCAAUUUUUAUACCUUGUAUUAUAUUCCAAGGAUCAUUUAACUUCUAAUAUAAGUUUGACAAAUUACCAGAAAUGUGAAUUACACCGGCAGAUAAAGGCGAGUAUGAAACGAAUAAGUUAAGAUAAUUAAAUUACAUGCAGAUUGAUAAAAUAUAGCAUUGUUAUUUGUUUGAUGUAUUAAUAAUCGGAUAAUCGUAAAAACGCAUCGACAUCCAAAAAGUGCUGGAUAAAUUAUUACAAAUAUGAAUACUAAUGGAUGAGGUAAUGGAACAAGUUAUGCUAAUGUGUUUAGAAAAUUAGGCGAAUGAAAUCUACGAAGGAACAACAGACGCCGAUAACAUUAGAGGGCAAAUAUUGUUAAUACGAUAUUUGUAUAAAUAAAAAAGAAGUGAAAAAGAUAUAGAUACAGCAAAUAAGCAGUUGAGAGACAAGAAAGUAUGCUCGGAGUCAAGGGAAGUGAGGAGAAAAGCGAAGAGAAAAGGAGGUGCUAAAGAAUCAUUCAAAUAAGUGUUAGACCUACCAAAGAGAAAAUAAUAAGCAAAUGAAACCUAUAAUGAAAAAUGUUAGAAGACAAUACCAUAACAUUAGAGGACAAGGAUAGUCAAUACAAUAUUGUUUUGAUAAGAAAGGUACUGACAAAGACAUAGUGUAGCGACGGAGACAACAAUACUGAGGGCAAAAAAUUUCCGAAAUCGAAAUGAGGAAGGUAUAAUAAUCGAAAAAAAAGCGACGAAGAUGACAAGGAUAUAGUCACUCUAUUGUCUUAAAUAUUCAGGACGGAAAUCUUAUAGAGAUAGCCAUUACGCACAAACGAUCGAUAAUACUUAAUAAGAAAAAUGCGACAGUGAAUGUGAAUUCAGAUCCCAUUAUAUUGAAAGAUGCUAACAAUAGGAACUUUCAUAGAACUUUUCGAAACAAGCCUUUAAAAUGUUAAAUAUUUUUAGCAAAUAUCGAGAUACAAUUGCUAACAAGAUACAAAAGUUAACUCACAUAGAUAGUUUAUAUCGACAGAAAUGAGAUGAAGAUAUUACUCUUUAAUUCAAUACUCCAGAUGAAUAUAUUAUCACCUGUACUGAAUAUUUCAUCGCGAAUAACAAUAAUAGCAAUAAUAGUAGGGGGAAACAAUACAACAACUAAUGGCACCCGACAUCAUCGAUAGAACUACUGCGUUAUCCAAUCCGAUGUAAUUGUUCAAAAAAUAUACGAAUGUUUAUGGACUAUCAAGCAGUAAAUACAGAAACAAGUCGAUAGAAAUGGGAAAUACGAAGUAUUGCAGUAUAUUUGACUCAAAUAGCGGAUAUUAUCAAGUACCGAUGGAUAAAUGCUGUUAGCAUGUUACUGUGUUCGUCAUACUUGACAGAGGUUUCAUUAAAAUAUCGUGCGGGCUUUAGAAUGCUCCUGCCUCUUUCCAAUGAAUCUUGAUGUCGUUUUAGAUAACCUUCGGAACGCUAUUACAAUUGUAUAUUUUGACGAUAUCAUUAUCUUGUGAAAUAAUAUUGAAGAGGAAAUAGAUGACCUCAUACAAUAUUUGCUAUGUUACACCAUGAUCGAUAUUAUUAAUGAUCGCUUUAUUAAAAUCGCUUCUUUUGCAAGAGUAGGAAUGGACAGGACACUUCUGAUACCAUCGAGUGAUUUUAGAAAUAUCGAAUCAAGAUUUUUAUUAUUUAUAGGCGUAAAAAUCUGCCUAAUUAAAUUUAGCAUUACGAAAUCUGUAACAUUAAUUGAUUUUUCAAAAACUAGAUUAAAAAAUCUCUUUUUUUAAAAGUUUUUGAAUUUAUCAAUUUAAAUUUAAAUUAGCACUAUCAGUCGAAAUGAUAGUGAUAUAAUGGUU